rnacentral:rRNA from 1 species
AAUGAACGCUGGCGGCGCGCCUAAUACAUGCAAGUCGAGCGAGAAGACGUAGCAAUACGUUUGUAAAGCGGCGAACGGGUGAGGAAUACAUGGGUAACCUACCCUCGAGUGGGGAAUAACUAGCCGAAAGGUUAGCUAAUACCGCGUACGCUCCUUGGACUUCGGUUCAGGGAGGAAAGCGAUACCGUGGGUAUCGCGCUCUUGGUUGGGCUCAUGUCCUAUCAGCUUGUUGGUGAGGUAACGGCUCACCAAGGCUUCGACGGGUAGCUGGUCUGAGAGGACGAUCAGCCACACGUGGCACUGCGACACGGGCCAGACUCCGUACGGAGGCAGCAAGUAAGGAAUAUUGC